rnacentral:rRNA from 1 species
GUGCCAGCAGCCGCGGUAAUACGGAGGAUGCGAGCGUUAUCCGGAUUUAUUGGGUUUAAAGGGUGCGUAGGCGGAUUAAUAAGUCAGUGGUGAAAACCUUCAGCUUAACUGGAGAAUUGCCAUUGAUACUGUUAGUCUUGAGUACGGUCAAGGUAGGCGGAAUGUGUAAUGUAGCGGUGAAAUGCUUAGAUAUUACACAGAACACCGAUUGCGAAGGCAGCUUACUGGGCCAUUACUGACGCUGAUGCACGAAAGCGUGGGGAGCGAACAGGAUUAGGUACCCUGGUAGUCCACGCCGUAAACGAUGAUCACUCGCUGUUGGCGAUACACAGUCAGCGGCUAAGCAAAAGCAUUAAGUGAUCCACCUGGGGAGUACGGUCGCAAGACUGAAACUCAAAGGAAUUGACGGGGGCCCGCACAAGCGGAGGAACAUGUGGUUUAAUUCGAUGAUACGCGAGGAACCUUACCUGGGCUUAAAUGUAGAGUGCAUGAGGUAGAAAUACUUCUUUCCUUCGGGACUCUUUGCAAGGUGCUGCAUGGUUGUCGUCAGCUCGUGCCGUGAGGUGUCGGGUUAAGUCCCAUAACGAGCGCAACCCUUAUCGUUAGUUGCCAGCGGGUCAUGCCGGGAACUCUAACGAAACUGCCGGUGUAAACCGUGAGGAAGGUGGGGAUGACGUCAAAUCAGCACGGCCCUUAUGUCCAGGGCUACACACGUGUUACAAUGGCCGGUACAGAGGGCAGCUACCUGGAGACAGGGUGCGAAUCUCCAAAGCCGGUCUCAGUUCGGAUCGGANUCUGCAACUCGACUCCGUGAAGCUGGAUUCGCUAGUAAUCGCGCAUCAGCCAUGGCGCGGUGAAUACGUUCCCGGGCCUUGUACACACCGCCCGU